rnacentral:rRNA from 1 species
CCUACGGGGGGCAGCAGUGAGGAAUAUUGGUCAAUGGACGAGAGUCUGAACCAGCCAAGUAGCGUGAAGGAUGACUGCCCUAUGGGUUGUAAACUUCUUUUAUAUGGGAAUAAAAUGUUCCAUGUGUGGGAUUUUGUAUGUACCAUAUGAAUAAGGAUCGGCUAACUCCGUGCCAGCAGCGGCGGUAAUACGGAGGAUCCGAGCGUUAUCCGGAUUUAUUGGGUUUAAAGGGAGCGUAGGUGGAUUGUUAAGUCAGUUGUGAAAGUUUGCGGCUCAACCGUAAAAUUGCAGUUGAAACUGGCAGUCUUGAGUACAGGAGAGGUGGGCGGAAUUCGUGGUGUAGCGGUGAAAUGCUUAGAUAUCACGAAGAACUCCGAUUGCGAAGGCAGUUCACUGGACUGCAACUGACACUGAGGCUCGAAAGUGUGGGUAUCAAACAGGAUUAGAUACCCCUGUAGUC